rnacentral:rRNA from 1 species
AGAGUUUGAUCCUGGCUCAGGAUGAACGCUAGCUACAGGCCUAACACAUGCAAGUCGAGGGGAAACGGCAGCUUAGCUUGCUAAGCUGGAUGUCGACCGGCGCACGGGUGAGUAACGCGUAUCCAACCUGCCCCACGGUGAGGGAUAACCCGCGGAAACGCGGCCUAAUACCUCAUGGUCUCCGAGCUUGACAUCAACCUUGGAGUAAAGAUUCAUUGCCGUGGGAUGGGGAUGCGUCUGAUUAGCUUGUUGGCGGGGCAACGGCCCACCAAGGCAACGAUCAGUAGGGGUUCUGAGAGGAAAGCCCCCCACAUUGGAACUGAGACACGGUCCAAACUCCUACGGGAGGCAGCAGUGAGGAAUAUUGGUCAAUGGGCGAGAGCCUGAACCAGCCAAGUAGCGUGCAGGAUGACGGCCCUAUGGGUUGUAAACUGCUUUUAUGCGGGGAUAAAGUGGGCGACGUGUCGCCCUUUGCAGGUACCGCAUGAAUAAGGACCGGCUAAUUCCGUGCCAGCAGCCGCGGUAAUACGGAAGGUCCGGGCGUUAUCCGGAUUUAUUGGGUUUAAAGGGAGCGCAGGCCGGGUAUUAAGCGUGUUGUGAAAUGUAGGCGCCCAACGUCUGCACCGCAGCGCGAACUGGUGCCCUUGAGUACGCACGACGUUGGCGGAAUUCGCCGUGUAGCGGUGAAAUGCUUAGAUAUGGCGAAGAACUCCGAUUGCGAAGGCAGCUGACGGGAGCGCUACUGACGCUCAUGCUCGAAAGCGCGGGUAUCGAACAGGAUUAGAUACCCUGGUAGUCCGCGCGGUAAACGAUGGAUGCCCGCUAUUUGCGCAUUUGCGCAAGUGGCCAAGUGAAAACGUUAAGCAUCCCACCUGGGGAGUACGCCGGCAACGGUGAAACUCAAAGGAAUUGACGGGGGCCCGCACAAGCGGAGGAACAUGUGGUUUAA